GGCUCGGUAGCUCAGUGGUAGAGCAGUGGACUGAAAAUCCUCGUGUCGCUGGUUCAAUUCCGGCUCGGGCCA
rnacentral:tRNA from 1 species